CAUUUAGCUCAUGUGGUUUUAUUAUCAAUUAUUAGUAGCUCCCACAGUUCAGUCAGACUCUCCGCAUUGACCAUUUAUCAGUUUAUUCAGUAUUCUAUUUCAGCAUGUUAUAAAUUGGUCAUUGCGUCCAGUUCUCUCAGAAAUCAGAACAUCACGUUCAUAUUAUUAUACUUGUUUUUUUCUUGUUUAGUUAUGUUUUAUUUAACCUUUACUCUAUCCGACAGGCUCAGUACCUUUCAAGUACUGGCCCAUACGUGUGCUACAUCUUGUCGUGAUGUAUGUUCAGGUUCUCAGCAUCCAGAUCACGCAUAAAUCGAUUUCCCGAUCUCAAGUUUAGCAGAUUUAGUGGUAAUUUGGAGUUGAGGCAAACCAUGGACAUUAAUUGGCAAAAAGGAACAAAAUGGCUGAAAAGAUGAAGAAUCGAAGGCCUGAAGAUCACCGAGUCCUCUUGGAGAGUCACCAAUAGGAAUGGAUAUUGCCUUUUGUUCCAAUGUGCUGAGCCCGAAAGGAAAUGAUUAAGUCGGCCGUGAAAAGGAGCGGUCAAUGCAACACCGAGCAGUUUCGUGAAGCAGUAUUAUGUCACUCAACGAUCCAAAACACGACGUUGUUGAAGGCUAGAUCGAGACAACGAUGAACUAUAAUUACUUGCUGAGAGUUGUAGCUGAAUAUAAGAAGAUAUUGAAUUUUUAGCUUUGAAUGGUAAACUUAUAUAUUUUUCUUCUAUUUUAUGCGUUCUAAGUCUGAGAGGGUUUUGAAGAACUUGAAUAUUUAAAGGGGUUCACCUCUGAGAAUUUGGAUUUGGGUCUCUUGGAUUCUUCCUUUUUGGCUUGGACCAAGACUUAAAUCAUGAUUACCCAUUUGAAUGCAAACUCAUUUAUGUAUGAA